GCAGAUCCAAUUUUCUGCCACCGAAUACAUUAGCAUGGGAUAAUGGAAUAGGACCCUGUCCUCCUAUUUUCAGUUGGUUUUGGCAGCGCGAGGACUAGGGUAAUGAUUAAUAGGGAUAGUUGGGGGCAUUAAUAUUUAAUUGUCAGAGGUGAAAUUCUUGGAUUUAUGAAAGAUUAACUUCUGCGAAAGCAUCUGCCAAGGAUGUUUUCAUUAAUCAAGAACGAAAGUUAGGGGAUCGAAGACGAUCAGAUACCGUCGUAGUCUUAACCAUAAACGAUGCCGACCAGCGAUUAGGAGACGUUGAAUACAAAACACCACCAUCGGUGCGGUCAUCCUUGGCGUCGGUUUCGGCCGGCGCGGGGG
rnacentral:rRNA from 1 species